UUUUUUUCUUUAAAGAGCACCUAUUAUGAGAUACACGUUUUUAAACAUCCUUUUGUGUGUAAGUGUGUAUUAGUACAUGCUAACGAUAUUCAAAAAGUACAUACCUCAAAGAAAACGAUGACGCGAGUUAUCGUCUCUAACGUUCGAGGACUACAAAAAACACUCGGAUUGUAGGCAACAGUUUACUUCCUGGGAUUAGUGACGUAGAGAAGACCAACAUUAUCAUAGUUCAGCCCUCUCUGCUUCGCUUGGGUACGCCCUCAAAGACGGGGGUGGAGAGCGCUGAGUCAGAAGAGAGCUAAAAUGGCGGAGGUUGGGAGUCCCUGCUUUGACCCUGUUUGCAAACUCUUGUUUCAUCAUUGAGCGAUUAAAUCUCUCGAGUAGACGCUGUCUCUUUAGAUGCAAGGGCAAAAUAGCACUUUAUGGACUUACACAGAGGACAUCAUGUUUAAUACGGUUCCGGAAAAAUCCAGUCAGAAGUUGUUCACGGAGUUUUCACAAUAACUGCUUCUCAUGAACCGAAGCUGCGCGACGUCUCCUCCUGAAAGUUGGAUUACCGUGCACUUCUGGAUCACAGGCUAUUCGCAGCUGGACACAUCCUUCUACACUGUAUGCAAACAUGCAACAUCAUUACACACAGUACAAGGCAUAUGAGGAGCAAAGGAACCCAGGCAGUAGCAUCGUUUCACAAUGUUUACAUCACCAUCAUCAGUGGAUGCCUUUGCCGUCCGUAGCCUGAGAUUUCAGAUUUGCAGCAAAAAAUGUGACUUUCCCAUUUAUUGGAAUGCUGUGCAGGUUAUACCUUACAGCCGUCCAUUACAAUGUCACCAAGCCGUAACAAAAGCAGGAGAGGGAAAGUACAAGGCUAUGUUCCCAAAACACACAAGUGACAUACUUUAUGUGGAUGAUGUGAUCAGGCUUGUGUUUGCUGAGGUAUUUGAAGAUAAGCUGAAGGAAACCCCGAUUCCAAUGGACCUGGCAUCACAGUUUGAGAGACCUUCAAAGGAGGACGUGAUUGCAUGCCAUCUUCAGUGCAGGGGUCGUCAGAAGCCAACAUUCCGAUCAGGAAGCUCCAAGCAUAUCUGGAGAACAACACACGACAGGAUGAUAACCCUAAAGUGUCGUCUUAGAUAGCACCAGCUGACAAAGCUUUGAUAUGCCAUUUAUCUGAAUAGAUAGCUGUAAGAAGUGAAUUGAACAAUUUUUGAGAGAAGAGCACAAUAUGGUUACUAAAGUAUGUUUAUUUGUAUAUUGUUUAACAUUUAAAUAUAUAUUUGUAAUAAAUAAAAAAACUUUUGACUGACUACUA